GAUGAAGAACGCAGCGAAAUGCGAUAAGUAAUGUGAAUUGCAGAAUUCAGUGAAUCAUCGAAUCUUUGAACGCACAUUGCGCCCGCCAGUAUUCUGGCGGGCAUGCCUGUUCGAGCGUCAUUUCAACCAUCAAGCCCCCGGCUUGUGUUGGGGACCUGCGGCUGCCGCAGGCCCUGAAAAGCAGUGGCGGGCUCGCUGUCACACCGAGCGUAGUAGCAUACAUCUCGCUCUGGGCGUGCUGCGGGUUCCGGCCGUUAAACCACCUUCAUAACCCAAGGUUGACCUCGUAUCAGGUAGGAAGACCCGCUGAACUUAAGCAUAUCAAUAAGCGGAGGA
rnacentral:misc_RNA from 1 species